GUGGCAGUGUCUUCAGCAUGGCCCGGACUCUGCUGCUCCUCACCUUCCUGGCCUCCUGCACAGGGACUUGGGCCCAGUUUGUGCUGAGUCAGAUCCCCUCUGUGUCGAGGUCUCCAGGGGAGAAGGUCACCAUCUCCUGUACCCGCAGCAGUGGAGACAUCGGGUCUAAAUGGGUGCACUGGUACCAGCAGCGCCCUGGGAGUGCCCCCACAAAUGUGAUCUAUAAAGACAAUCAAAGACCCUCUGGGGUCCCUGAUAGGUUUUCUGGGUCCAUUGACAGUGCCUCUAAUGCUGCCCACCUGACCAUCACUGGUGUGCAGCCUGAGGACGAGGCGGACUAUUAUUGUCAGUCGUCUGAUAGCAGCUAUAGUUACCCAGUGCUCCAGACCUAUGGGGAAAUACCCCAACAAGCACUACAGUCCAGGUUGUCCCAGUUGCUUCUUGGAUUCAAUGAUGCUUUGACCAAUGCAGGGUUUCUGCUCAUCGAUGAAUGCAGCCUAAGGAUAAGGCUGAGCUCCUGGGCACAGACUGGACUGAGGCAGGAAGUGUCAGUGUCACGGUCUGUGGGACAGACAGUCACCGUCUCCUGCACUGGAAACAGCAUCAAUGUCGAUUACUAUGGUGCAGACUGGUACCAGCAGUUUCCUGAUGCUACCCCCAAAGCUGUGAUGUUUUGA